UACGGAGGGGGCUAGCGUUGUUCGGAAUUACUGGGCGUAAAGCGCACGUAGGCGGCUUUGUAAGUUAGAGGUGAAAGCCCGGAGCUCAACUCCGGAAUUGCCUUUAAGACUGCAUCGCUAGAAUUGUGGAGAGGUAAGUGGAAUUCCGAGUGUAGAGGUGAAAUUCGUAGAUAUUCGGAAGAACACCAGUGGCGAAGGCGACUCACUGGACAUGUAUUGACGCUGAGGUGCGAAAGCGUGGGGAGCAAACAGG
rnacentral:rRNA from 1 species